GACAGAGGGGGCAAGCGUUGCUCGGAAUCACUGGGCGUAAAGGGCGCGUAGGCGGGAUGGCAAGUCAGUUGUGAAAUCUCUCGGCUCAACCGAGAAACGUCGGCUGAUACUGCCGUUCUUGAGGGAUGCAGAGGAGACUGGAAUUCCCGGUGUAACGGUGAAAUGUGUAGAGAUCGGGAGGAACACCGGCGGCGAAGGCGGGUCUCUGGGCAUUUCCUGACGCUGAGGCGCGAAAGCGUGGGGAGCAAACGGG
rnacentral:rRNA from 1 species